GCAGGGACCUGACUGAUGGCAUGGAAGAUCCUUAUUCUCUGUAUCCCAUGUCUGGCACAGUACUGGGACCUGGCUGUAACAUUUAUUGAGCACUUACUAUGUGCCAGGCCCUGACCUUCCUGACCAGAAAUGAAAUUCUGUGUAUCCAUGACACCUUCUUGAAGCUCUGCCCUGCAGGCAAGUACUACAAAGAGGCCACACUGACCAUGGACCAGGUCAGCUCCCUGCCGGCCCUGAGGGUCAACCCUUUCAGAGACCGCAUCUGCAAAGUGUUCUCACAUGACGAUGUGCUCUCCUUUGAGGAUGUGCUGGGCAUGGCCUCUGUGUUCAGUGAGCAGGCCUGCCCCAGCCUGAAGAUUGAGUAUGCUUUUCGUAUCUACGAUUUUAAUGAGAACGGCUUCAUCGAUGAGGAGGACCUGCAGAGGAUUGUGCUACGACUGCUGAACAGCGAUGACGUGUCUGAGGACAUGCUGAUGGACCUUGCACACCACGUGUGUACUCGAGAGCUGAAGGGCAGGGCCUGGGUGCCUUGUGGUUCAAAGCCCUUGGGUAUCAGACCACCCACUUGGGAGGAGACCCAAGGCUGAGCCUCAAGCAGAUUGGCACACUGGCCUUUGGACCACUUAUUCCCUGGUGGCUGCCACAGGGGUGGGCCGCACAAGGUGCCUUGAGGAGUGGGCACAUAGGUGGAAGCAACUACCUCCCAACUGUUUAUCCUUCCCCCGAGUCUCUUCCAUGGUCCCCAGAGCAAUGUGCUUGACCCUCCAGUUCGGGGCCUCCCACCCACAUGGGUUCCUGCAGGCAGAUAGACCAAGAGCAGCUGGACACAUAACAACAUCCCCUCCCCACCUCGUCCCAGAGCCACACCAUGUCCAGAUGUCCUAGAGUGACUGUGAAAACCUUCCAGUGUUUCUGGUCUGAAUGGGAACUAGAAGGAAAGAGACAGCAUCACCACCACCUUCCCACCUGACUGAGCCCCUAACAGUGCAGGGCCCCUGCCUGUGACCAGGCGAUGGGGCAGGUGGGAGGAACCCCUGCCCUCACUAUCAAGAUGGUGCUGGAGAAUCUUCCUAGGAGUGAGAGUCAGCCCCUGAGAUCUUGGAUCCUUAGGGCACACUGCCUUGUUUCUCGGGGGGUCGGGUAAGGGGUGAGAACCGGCCUCACAGGUGGGACAGGGCCCCAGGAGAUGAGUGUAAGCACCUGGCAGAGAUCCUGGCAUAUGCUGUCCCUUGCAUGGGCAUUUCUCUCCUCCCCCCGCGCCCCGCCUCAUUGUCACCAGGCUCCCCUCAGCCUCCUUCCCCUGGCCAGGUCCUGAGUGAGUCAGACCUGGACAAUGACAACAUGCUGUCCUUCUCAGAGUUUGAACACGCAAUGUUCAAGUCUCCAGAUUUCAUGAACUCCUUUCGGAUUCACUUCUGGGGAUAUUGAUGUGCCACAAACUCCUGAUCCAGCAGCCUCUCGGAGACCCCUGGAACCCACCCCUCCAGGCACUGAGAUCUGACUUAAAACAUGACUUUGGCCUCCUCCCGAAUAUUAUUUUCUAAAUAAAGCAAAGGAAAACCCUU